rnacentral:rRNA from 1 species
AUUGAACGCUGGCGGCAGGCCUAACACAUGCAAGUCGAGCGAGCGGCGGACGGGUGAGUAAUGUCUGGGAAACUGCCUGAUGGAGGGGGAUAACUACUGGAAACGGUAGCUAAUACCGCAUACCAUCAGAUGUGCCCAGAUGGGAUUAGCUAGUAGGUGGGGUAAUGGCUCACCUAGGCGACGAUCCCUAGCUGGUCUGAGAGGAUGACCAGCGACACAGGGACUGAGACACGUUCCAGGCUCCUACGGGAGGCAGCAGUGGGGAAUAUUGCACAAUGGGCGCAAGCCUGAAGCAGCCAUGCCGCGUGUGAGAAGAAGGCCUUCGGGUUGUAAAGCACUUUCAGCGGGGAGGCGUUACCCGCAGAAGAAGCACCGGCUAACGCCGUGCCAGCAGCCGCGGUAAUUC